rnacentral:rRNA from 1 species
GAUGAACGCUGGCGGCGUGCCUAAUACAUGCAAGUCGAGCGAACAGACGAGGAGCUUGCUCCUCGGAUGUUAGCGGCGGACGGGUGAGUAACACGUGGAUAACCUACCUAUAAGACGGGGAUAACUUCGGGAAACCGGAGCUAAUACCGGAUAACAUGUUGAACCGCAGGGUUCAACAGUGAAAGACGGUCUUUCUGUCACUGAUAGAUGGAUCCGCGCCGCAUUAGCUAGUUGGUAAGGUAACGGCUUACCAAGGCAACGAUGCGUAGCCGACCUGAGAGGGUGAUCGGCCACACUGGAACUGAGACACGGUCCAGACUCCUACGGGAGGCAGCAGUAGGGAAUCUUCCGCAAUGGGCGAAAGCCUGACGGAGCAACGCAGCGUGAGUGAAGAAGGUCUUCGGAUCGUAAAACUCUGUUAUUAGGGAAGAACAAAUGUGUAAGUAACUAUGCACGUAUUGACGGUACCUAAUGAGAAAGCCACGGCUAACUACGUG